UUCCUCACCGACGUCGAUGGGCGUGCUGCAAUCCGUAAGGAAUCCACCACAACCGAUACGAACGUCGUUCGCACGUAGCGUUGAACGCGAGGGGCAAAUACAGGCCGAGGCCUCGUGCCCACAACAUGUUCCGCAUCCGAGAUUUCGAGCAUUACACCUUGGGUGGGCCACACGAGCACAUGCGCACACACAUUCGAGUGCCAACCACGAUGCAUGCUAUGAGUUCCAAACCGCACCACGACGCCGAUGGGCGACGCAGAGCAGAAUGGAAACGGGACGAUUUCRCCGACAUAAUGCCUUAAAGGUAGGUAUCGAGCACAGGAGGCCGCAAUCGAACAGGGCCUGGUGGCCCUUGUACCGAUGAUUGAAGAGGCUCGGU
rnacentral:misc_RNA from 1 species